GAGAGAGGCGGCGGACAGCCCGGCCCCGGCCAGCAGCAGCAGGGGCAGAAGCCCCGGGAGCGCCUUUCCUUCUGCAGCCCCCAUAGCUCGGGUUCCUGCGGCCGCAACUCGGACCUGGGCAGCCACUGUCAGAGCCCGGAUAGAGUUUCGCUUUUGUUGCCCAUGCUGGAAUGCAAUGACCCAGUCUUGGCUCACCGCAACCUCCGCCUCCCAGGUUCAAGCGAUUCUCCUGCCUCAGCCUCCCAAGUAGCUAGGAUUACAGUCAUGUGCCACAAUGCCCAACCAAUUUUUUUGUAUUUUUAGUAGAGACAGGGUUUCUCCAUUUUGAUCAGGCUGGUCUUAAAUUCCCGACCUCAAGUGAUCUGCCUUCCUCCACCUCCUAAAGUGCUGGGACUACAGGCGUGAGCCACGGCACCUGGGGAUACCAUUUCAUAAACAAAAGAUUGUCUAGUUUCAAAGUCUAAUAACAUCUUGUUUACAUGGAUGUAGUAAAAUACAAACUUAUAUGAGUUGUUAAUGAGAAUAUAGUGCAAUUCAGUAUUGCCUACUAAAGUAGAAUUGCAGACUCUACAAAUCCAGUGAUUUCAUUUUUAGUUUUCUGGAUCUUUUUUCUUUCUUUCUUUUUUUUUUUUUUUUCUUUGAGAUGAAGUCUUGCUCUGUCGCCCAGGCUGGAAUGUAGUGGUGCAAUCUCGGCUUACUGCAACCUCUGCCUCCCAAGUUCAAGCAAUUCUCCUGCCUCAGCCUCCCAAGUUGCUGGGAUUACAGGUGCACACCACCACACCUGGCUAACAUCUUUGUAUUUUUAAUAGAGACAGGGUUUCACCAUGUUGGCCAGGCUGGUAUCGAACUCCUGACCUGAAGUGAUCUGUCUGCCUCAGCUUCCCAAAGUGCUGGGAUUAUAGGUGUGAGCCACUGUGCCCUGCCCAUUUUUAGUUUUCUAUCUAGAUUUUGUUUAAAGAAAAAACUCCAAGACCAUGAACCCUAGAAGACAUGUUCAAAGGUGAUUAUUGCAGCAAUGUUUUAUUAAAUUAAAUGAAUUAAUUUUUUUGAGAGGAAGUCUCACUCUGUUGCCCAGGCUGGAGUGCAGUGGCACGAUCUUGGCUCACUGCAACCUCCCCGUCCCGGGUUCAAGCAAUUCUCUUGCCUCAGCCUCCCAAGUAGCUGGGACUACAGGCCUGCACCACCAUGCCUGGUUAAGUUUUGUAUUUUUUAGUAGAGAUAGGGUUUCACCAUGUUGGCCAAGCUGGUCUCAACUCCUGACUCCAAGUGAUCCACACGCCUCAGCCUCCCAAAGUGUUGGGAUUGCAGUAGAGACACGGUUUCACCACGUUGGUCACGAUGGUCUAGAACUCCUGACCUUAGGUGAUCUGCCCACCUCGGCCUCCCAAAGUGCUGGGAUUACAAGCAUAAGCCACCAUGCCCAGCGUCUCUGAAGUAUUUUCAAAUCAAUCCUUGUCUUGGCUUAAGAGAGAAGAAAGAAAGGAAUGAAGAAGAGAAAAAAGGAAGAGGAGGGAGAGAGAACGGGAGUGUUGCUUAAUUGCCCAGGCUAAAAUUAAGUGUUGCUUAAUUGCAGUCUAAAAAUGGGUAUUGAAAGCCUCCCAUACCAUCAACUGUGCUUAAUAAUGGCCAACCAAUAAUUCAUUUAAACCUGUGAGUAGGUGUGAUGUGGUACUGAUAAGAGUGCAUAUCUUGUGUGUUUAAAGUGGAGAGUUCUAUAAAUGUUUAUUAAGUCGUUCCGGAUCUGAGUUCAAGUCCUGGAUAUCCUUGUUAAUUUUCUGUCUCAUUGAUCUAUCUAAUAUUGAUGUUGAAAUCUCCCACUACUACCGUGUGGGAGUCCAAGUCUCUUUACAAGUCUUAUGUAUCCUGUAUUGGGUGUGUACACAUCCAGGAUCGUCAGCUCUUCUUGUUGCGUUGAUUCUUUUUUUUUGAGACGGAGUUUCGCUCUCCUUACCCAGGCUGAUGUGCAAUGGCGCGACCUCGGCUCACCGCAACCUCCGCCUCCUGGGUUCAGGCAAUUGUCCUGCCUCAGCCUCCUGAGUAGCUGAGAUUACAGGCAUGCGCCACCAUGCCCAGCUAAUUUUUGUAUUUUCAGUGGAGACAGGGUUUCACCUUGUUGACCAGGAUGGUCUUGAUCUCUUGACCUCGUGAUCCACCCGCCUCGGCCUCCCAAAGUGCUGGGAUAACAGGCUUGAGUCACCGCACCUGGCUGCGUUGAUCCUUUUACCAUUACGUCCUCUUUUGAUCUUUGCUGCUUUAAAAUCCAUUCCAUCAGAGGUGAGAAUUGCAACCUCUACUUUUUAUUUAUUUAUUUAUUUUUGCUCUCCAUUUGAUUGACAAAUCUUUCUCCAUCCCUUUGUUUUGACUCUUUAUGUAUCCUUGCAUGUAAGAUGGGUCUGGAUGCGGCAUACCAAUGGGUUUUGGCUGUAUCUUUUGAUUGGAGGAUUUAGUCAAUUUAAAUUUAAGAUUAUUGCCAUUUGAUGUUAGCUGGCUAUUUUGCCCAUUAGUUGAUAUACAUUCUUCAUUAUGUUGAUACUCUUGACUUUUUGGUGUAUUUUUAGAAAGGCUAAUACUGGUUGUUCCUUUCUAUGUGUAAUGCUUCUUUCAGAAGCUCUCGUAAAGCAGGCCUGGUGGUAAUGAAAUCUGAGUACUUGCUUAUUCACAAAAGAUUUUAUUUUUCCUUCUAUUGUAAAGCUUAGUUUGGCUGGAUGUGAAAUUCUGGGUUGACAGUUCUGUUCUUUAAGGAUGUUAAAUAUUGGCCCCCACUCUCUUCUGGCUUGUAAGGUUUCUGCCGAGAGAUCGGCUGUGAGUCUGAUAGGCUUCCCUUUGUGGGUAACCUGACCUUUCUCUCUGGCUGCCCUUAGUAUUUUCUCCUUUAUUUCAACCCUGGUGAAUCUAACGAUUAUGUGCCUUGGGGUUGCUCUUCUUGAGGAAUAUCUUUGUGGUGUUCUCUGUAUUACCUGGGGUUGAAUAUUGUCCUGCCUUGCUAGGUUGGGAAAGUUUUCCUGAAUAAUAUCCUGAAGAGUAUUUUCCAGCUUGGAUUCAUUCUCUCCGUCACAUUCAGGUAUACCUAUCAAACGUAGAUUAAGUCUUUUCACAUAGUCCCAUAUUUCUUGGAGACUUUGCUUUUUCCUUUUUAUCUUUUUUACUCUAUUCUUGUCUUCUCAUUUUAUUUCAUUAAGUUGGUCUUCAACCUCUGAUAUCCUUUCUUCUGCUUGACCAAUUCGGCUGUUAAAACUUGUGCAUACUUCACGAAGUUCUUGUGUUGUAUUUUUCAACUCCGUUAAUUCACUUAUAUUCCUCUCUAUAUCAUCUAUUCUUGUUAGCAUUUCAUCAAACCUUUUUUCAAAGUUCUUAGUUUCUUUGCAUUUGGUUAGAACAAGUUCUUUUAACUCCCAGAAGUUUCUUAUCAUCCACCCUCUGAAGCCUGCCUCUGUUAAUGGAACAGUCUUUCUCCAUCAGACCUUGUUCCGUUGCUGAUGAGGAACUGUAAUCCCCUGUAGAGGGAGAGGCAUUCUGAUUUUGGGUGUUCUCAGCCUUUUUAGGCUGGUUUUUUCCCUUUGUUAUAAAUUUAUCCAUAUGUCGUGUUUGUAAUUACCGCCUUUCUAAUUAGGUUUCUGAGUGGACAUCCAAUUUAUUGAUUCACCAGUGCCGGAAUCUGAGCAACCCACUGUGCCGGCUUAAACAGUGGCGUUAAGAUUGAUGGUGCUUUUCUGACUGCACCAAAAAGUGCCGUGCCAAGGCGCCGGCAAAACCACCGGCAAAACUGCUGCGCUGGCCACAAGAGUUGCGGUGGUGAACUGUGGGGCUCCUCCACUGGGAAUCCUGGUCCGUGAGCAACAAAAUUCGUCUAAAAGUGUGGCAUCCUCUCAUUUUCUGUGCUGUCACUGGGAGCCACAAUCCCGAGCUGCUGACGAUCAGCCAUCUUGGAUCUUUGUUUUUGUUUUUUUCCAUUUGGAGUUUUUAUUACCAUUUAAUGCCUUACGCUUUAUAGGUACAAAAUUCAUUCUGAAACAAUGCUUGUGGAACUUUUAGUUUACAUUUUCAACUCUGAAUAGUUGACAUCUAAAUAGUUCAGCUGUGUUAGUCUUCCCUCAGAAAAGCAUUGCUUAAUGACAGGCCACCCACAGAAUUUUGCAGAAUUGAAAGACAAUCUCCCAAUUGUUUCAGUCUUUGUCAGAUUUUGCUUAUGAAUGCCCUUACUUUGUAGCUAUAAAGGUGUAAGACACGUGUGUGUUUGUGUGCAUCAAGUAUUACUCAAGUGAACAGAAUGUGUUUCUUUAAGUUUGCACGUUUCAAUAUAUAUGGGUUUUCUUAAAAAUACGAAAGGUUAAAAUAUUUGAUCAAUGUAACAGUGUUAAAUACAAAUUUCAUGUUCAACACUAAAAGCCCAAAAAAUUAUCUCCCAUUGUCCACGUUUUAUCUGUUUUUUAAAACCUUAGGGGGAAAUAUGUACUCUUAGGGAAACAAAAUUAAGCUUUAUUGCUAGAGAAAUGAAUGCAAGAAAUAGCACUUUAAGUAGUGAAGAGAUGUGAAGCACUGCAACUUCAUAGCCUGCUGAGGAGCAACAGCUGUACCUAAUUUAAACUUGACGUGCUUCAGAUCUCAUAUUCAUAUAGGUAUUUAAUGAUCCAAAUAUAAUGGUCCUAUAUAGAAUAAUUACUUAUAUGAAGGAGCAAACUUAUUCACAUUCCUUUUUAAAUUAUCCUUCAAGAGAAAAACUGCACUGGAUCUUUGAACAAUGAAUAGUCUCUUUCACCAAUUCAAAUGUUUGGGAUGAAAUAGCUUGUCUUUUAAGAGAGAAUAAUAAUAGUGCUGGGGUUACUUUUUUUUGACAGACUCUUUUUGUCUACCCUCUUCCCAGGACAGCCAGGACAAUGACAAAACGUAGAAUGCCAAGCCAAUCAUUAAGUCAUAAUGGUAGAUUGUAACAAGAAAUAUCAGAAACAAAAGGAAAUAAGGUAUUUUAGAGUUGGUAUAUUUUGAAAACAAAGAUUCAUUGCUUUGAGCUUGACUUUCCUGGACAGGGAGACUAGUAGAAGCAGAGCUCUCAGACUCCUUUUCACCUGAAGGGUACAGUGAUUGCCCAGAGUUUAUUUAUCCUUCAUUUUCAUCCCUUGCUUCUUCCAUGUUCUCAAGAGGUUCACUGAUUAAAAUCAUUGGCCCUAGAGAUUUUUCCACACUACACUCUUCUGAUUGGAAAAUCUGGCCUGUACAUUUUUCUUUUCUACUACCUGAUGUCAGUACUCCUGAACUUUUAUAAACUUCUUCAGGUGCUCUCUGCUUUUAUUUGCAUUUGUAAACAUGUUCAGACCAAAGACUACACUAGGAUUGAAAAAGUUAUCUCUAGAACCUUGACCUUAUAAGAGAAAAGGCUCCAAGUCAUUGUCCUACCAUUUUAUUCAUGUUCAAGAUCUUUCAAAAAAACUCAUAUUUUAAAAAAUCUUUCAAAAGAACAUAAGCAAUUAAUGAAAGAAUGUUACCUGAUAGAACUAUAUUAUCUAUAUGUAGUUUUAAAAUGUUAUCUAAAAUAGCUUAAAGAACAGAAUAUUCUAAGUAAACAUUCUAGUUAAAAUGGAGUUGCAAUGCGUCUAUAUAGACUAAAUUUUCAAAGGAUUAGACCAUGAAUAAAUAACGUUUAUAUUAACCAUGGCCACUUGGUGAGAUCACAUAGAUAAUAAAUCAGCAUUCUGGAUUUAUACACCACUUUUAUACAUUAUAAGCCUGGGCAGGGUUUAAGUUCAUCCCUGAAUGGCUUCAUUUUCUGCAUUAAUGAAAUUUAAGACUAAAUAGCUCAAGUUCAGACACUGAUGAUUUCUUCAAGGUAGAAGUCACUCUGCAAGCUCACCUAUCCUCUGCUGAAGCAUUCACCCUUCUGAGAAUCUCAUCUUCAAAUGGAGAGCAAACAAAACAUUCUCAAGAGAAGAUUUAGAAAAUAAUAAAAGGAAUCAGACAGAAAUAAGAUACUAUGGGAUUAAAGAAAGAAAAGUUCAGAAUACACAUUUAUAAACCACAUACUAUAUCUGUCUGUCUUGCAUGUAAGAAAGACUAGUUAAGAAGAGGGUGAGGCCACAGUAGAAAGACAGAAGUCAGAACACAGAAUGGACUUUCGCCUCUUGGUAUUUGAGUGGGAAAAUCUAGAGGAAGGAUGAAACUUCCAGGCACCAUCACAAUUCACACAAUAAAGCUGUGAAUGCUAGCUGGUAUUCUGAAUAGACAUGCACAGAGACACCCAGUUCAAAAAUGCGAAAAGAAAAUGGAGCAGUGUCAGGUCUAAAAUAUACAAAUUUGCAUCGAACACUUCCUGUGAAGCACCAAAGUUCCUGGGGGUUGACUCUGGCAGCUUUACUAAUCCCCCAAUAGACAAUCUGGGGCAUUUUAGGGAACGUCUCUAAGUCUCAUUCAAACAAAACUGAAGUUGAAUGCAGAAAGUGAACAAACAGACAAAACUAGAAAGGAAUUAAGAACACUGGUUUUAGAAAUUGCUUUCUAAUUUUGAGUCAGAGUGCAGAAAACUGCCCUUUAGUCUAACUUGAGGUAACAUCUACUACAACAUUAUCUAAGAAAUCUGAUGCCAAAGGCAGCACACUAUUUCCAAAUGCAACAACUUGCAUGCAAAGAGGCUAUCCCCGAAAUGGAUGCAGCAUGUCUGUGGAAGGCAGAACAUCACACACCACUCCACACACAAUGGUACCUAUUUGGCAUUAGAAACUUUUUAUUGAGGCAAGGUAAACAGUGGGCUGAAAAUAUUACAUGAUGAAGGAAGGCUGAGGAAACCAGUAUGAAGGCAGCUCAAAUAAUGAACUAAAUACAUUCCAAAGGUACUAUUUAUACUUAAGGCAAUUUUAAAAGUGAGCUCUUAACCAAAAAGGCUUUACAUGGCAUUCAAAAAAAAAGAGGGGGUCAUUUAAAUCUUUUGGAUUGACUAAAAGAGCUAAAUCAUGUACCCAAAAUCUGUACAGCAAGGGCCUGUUUUCAGCAGGUAAGCCUAUGUACAAGUAAGAAUCUCUUACUCUUGUAACACUGUCCUGUUUUGUUUUGUUUUACAAGAACAUAUAAUUCCUAUCCCCACAGAGGUUAGUCCAUAAGGUCUCAGUGACCUCAUAGAAAUAUGGACCUUCCUCUCCUAGAGAACUAUUUACACUGCACUGUAAAUACACACAUGUGUGUCCACACCCACAACUAAGCUGUCAAUGCCUGGAGUGAAGGGGUGAUGGCUCAUCCUUUUGUAUUUACAGUGACAAUAGGCACUCAAUACUUUCUUUUGCAUGAAUGAUAAAUGAAAUGAUUUUAUACUACCACCACUAUUUACAUCAACAUUCCCACCAUUAGCUGUCUCCAAAAUAAAAACACCAAA